GGGCAAGAGGGCUUGACACUAGCAGACAGCUAAGGAGGGCAAAGUGCAAGUCGUGAACUUCUUUUCCUGGAGAAGAAGCAAUGACGGUAUCUGGGGAAUAAGCAUCGGCUAACUCUGUGCCAGUAGCUGCGGUGAGACAGAGGAUGCAAGCAGUAUCCGAAAUGAUUGGGCGUAAAGUGUGGCAUGCAAGUAGCUAAGGAAGCUUCUUUUCCAAGUUGCUUAUCCAGUGGCCUUUCAAAUGGCUUAGGAUUUCACUCUGAUUCCUUUGCUCUGCCAUGAAAAUCUUCUUU
rnacentral:ncRNA from 1 species